rnacentral:rRNA from 1 species
AGUGAACGCUGGCGGUAGGCCUAACACAUGCAAGUCGAACGGCAGCACAGUAAGAGCUUGCUCUUACGGGUGGCGAGUGGCGGACGGGUGAGGAAUACAUCGGAAUCUACUUUUUCGUGGGGGAUAAGGAGGGGAACUUUCCCCAAUUCCGGCAUAGAACCACGGGUGGAAACCAGGGGAUCUUCGACCUUUGGCGAUUUGAUUGGCCCGAUGUCGGAUUAGCUAGUUGGCGGGGUAAAGGCCCACCAAGGCGACGAUCCGUAGCUGGUCUGAGAGGAUGAUCAGCCACACUGGAACUGAGACACGGUCCAGACUCCUACGGGAGGCAGCAGUGGGGAAUAUUGGACAAUGGGCGCAAGCCUGAUCCAGCCAUACCGCGUGGGUGAAGAAGGCCUUCGGGUUGUAAAGCCCUUUUGUUGGGAAAGAAAAGCAGCAGGUUAAUACCCCGCUGUUCUGACGGUACCCAAAGAAUAAGCACCGGCUAACUUCGUG